GGACCAUUAGCUCAGUUGGUUAAAGCCAACCGCUCAUAACGGUUAGGUCACAGGUUCGAGUCCCGUAUGGUCCA
rnacentral:tRNA from 1 species